rnacentral:misc_RNA from 1 species
CACCACUCAAGCCUCGCUUGGUAUUGGGCGACGGGGACCUCCCGCGCCUUCAAUUCAUCGGCUGUUCGUUUGAAUCUCAGCGUUGUGGUUUCAUCAAAUCGCUGGCGAGGAGGAUUGAGCGCGCCGUUAAACUUCUUUCAA